rnacentral:rRNA from 1 species
GCUCAGAUUGAACGCUGGCGGCAUGCUUUACACAUGCAAGUCGAACGGCAGCACGAAAGAGCUUGCUCUUUUGGUGGCGAGUGGCGAACGGGUGAGUAAUACAUUGGAACGUACCGAGUAAUGGGGGAUAACUGUCCGAAAGGAUGGCUAAUACCGCAUACGCUCUGAGGAGGAAAGCGGGGGACCUUCGGGCCUCGCGUUAUUCGAGCGGCCAAUGUCUGAUUAGCUAGUUGGUGGGGUAAAGGCCUACCAAGGCGACGAUCAGUAGUGGGUCUGAGAGGAUGAUCCGCCACACUGGGACUGAGACACGGCCCAGACUCCUACGGGAGGCAGCAGUGGGGAAUUUUGGACAAUGGGCGAAAGCCUGAUCCAGCCAUGCCGCGUGUCUGAAGAAGGCCUUCGGGUUGUAAAGGACUUUUGUCAGGGAAGAAAGGGUUUGGGUUAAUACCCUGAGCUUAUGACGGUACC